rnacentral:lncRNA from 1 species
UUCAGUGCCACUUAUACAUCUCCAUCUAUUCAUCUAUGCAAGCUUGUGUUUCAGUGCUUCAUUUUUUACACCUCGCAUCCCAUGUGAUUCCUUUAACGUCAGGUUUAACAUUGAUAUUAUGAAUAAUUUUUAAACCAAAGUAUUGUAUAAGUCUGUGUGCUUGUAUUCCUGAAUGGUUGGAGGCAAACACCAACCUUGUCAUUUUCUCUUAAUAAAGUCAUUCAUUUGUUGCAUC